AUUGAACGCUGGCGGCAGGCCUAACACAUGCAAGUCGAGCGGAGCGGCGGACGGGUGAGUAAUGCCUAGGAAUCUGCCUGGUAGUGCGGUAUAACGUCCGGAAACUGGCGCUAAUACCGCAUACUAUAUGAUGAGCCUGAGUCGGAUUAGGUAGUUGUUGGGGUAAAGGCCUACCAAGGCGACGAUCCGUAACUGGUCUGAGAGGAUGAUCAGUCACACGGGAAUGGAGACACGGUCCAGACUCAUACGGGAGGCAGCAGUGGGGAAUAGUGGACAAGGGGCGAAAGCCUGAUCCAGACAUGCCGCGUGUGUGAAGAAGGUAUGCGGAUUGUAAAGCACUUUAAGUUGGGAGGCGUUACCAAAAGAAUAAGCACCGGCUAACUUCGUGCCAGCAGCCGCGGUAAUUC
rnacentral:rRNA from 1 species